rnacentral:rRNA from 1 species
GGAAAGGUGAAAAGAACCCCGAACAGGGGAGUGAAAUAGAACCUGAAACCAUACGCUUACAACCGGUCGGAGCAGCUUCGUGCUGUGACGGCGUGCCUAUUGAAUAAUGAGCCUACGAGUUACUAAUCACUAGCGAGGUUAAGUGCAAGGAUGCACGGAGCCGAAGCGAAAGCGAGUCUGAACAGGGCGUUUAGUUAGUGGUUGUAGACGCGAAACCUUGCGAUCUACCCUUGAGCAGGUUGAAGGUUGGGUAAAACCAACUGGAGGACCGAACGAAUAAGCGUUGAAAAGCUUCUCGAUGACUUGAGGGUAGGGGUGAAAGGCUAAUCAAGCUGGGAAAUAGCUCGUACUCCCCGAAAUGCCUUUUGGGGCAGCGUUGUAAUAAAGAGUCUACUGGAGGUAGAGCUACUGAUUGGAUGCGGGGGCUUCACCGCCUACCAAAUCCUGACAAACUCCGAAUGCCAGUAGUAUGAUUUACAGCAGUGAGUGACUGGGUGCUAAUGUCCAGUCGCAAAAGAGGAACAACUCAGACCAGCAACUAAGGUCCCGAAGAAUAUGCUAAGUUGAUCUAACGAUGUUUUGUUGCAGAGACAGCUAGGAUGUUAGCUUGGAAGCAGCUAUUCAUUCAAAGAGUGCGUAACAGCUCACUAGUCGAGCGACAGAGCGUGGAUAAUAAACGGGCAUCAAGCAUAUCACCGAAGUUCUGGGCGCGAGAGCGCGGUAGGGGAGCAUUCCAUUCAGCGUCGAAGCAGUUUCGUGAGGAAUUGUGGAGCGUAUGGAAAAGCAAAUGUAGGCAUGAGUAACGAUAAUGCGGGAGAGUAACCCGCACACCGCAAGACCAAGGUUUCCUGAUCAACGCUAAUCGGAUCAGGGUUAGUCGGGUCCUAAGGGUAAGCCGAACGGCGAUCUCGAUGGAUAAUCGGUUAAUAUUCCGAUACUAACAUAUACCUCGAUGGAGAGACGAAGGAACGUAAGUGCCGCCACCUGACGGAAUAGGUGGUUAAAGGGCGUAGGUAUAGGGGCAGAUUAAGAGUUAGUCCUUGCUGAAACCUGACAGUACAGAGAGCCUACGGGCAAUUUGAUAGAGCACCCAAGUCGACUUCCGAGAAAAUCUUCUAAGUUAUAGUAUAUGUUACCCGUACCGUAAACCGACACAGGUGGUCGAGGAGAGUAUCCUAAGGUGCUCGAGUGAAUCACGGUUAAGGAACUAGGCAAAUUAACCCCGUAACUUCGGGAAAAGGGGUCCCUAUGAAAGUAGGGCGCAGCGAAGAGGUCCAGGCGACUGUUUAUCAAAAACACAGGGCUCUGCAAAUUCGAAAGAAGACGUAUAGGGCCUGACACCUGCCCGGUGCUGGAAGGUUAAGAGGGGAUGUCAUCGCAAGAGAAGCAUUGAAUCGAAGCCCCAGUAAACGGCGGCCGUAACUAUAACGGUCCUAAGGUAGCGAAAUUCCUUGUCGGGUAAGUUCCGACCUGCACGAAUGGUGUAACGAUCUGGACACUGUCUCAACCGUGAGCUCGGUGAAAUUGUAGUCCCGGUGAUGAUGCCGGGUACCCGCAACGGGACGAAAAGACCCCGUGAACCUUUACUAUAGCUUAACGCUGAAUUUGGGUACACAAUGUGUAGGAUAGGCCGGAGGCUUUGAAGCGGGCACGCCAGUGUUCGUGGAGCCGACGUUGAAAUACGGCCCUUUGUGUAUUUGAGUUCUAACCCUGCGAAGGGGACACCGUUUGGUGGGUAGUUUGACUGGGGUGGUCGCCUCCAAAAGCGUAACGGAGGCUUC